CCAGAGUGUACCCAUGUGUACAUGGAAUGGUUGUUAGCCUGGAUAUUUUUUAAAACAUUUACAAAGGUUACUAUAGAGGUCUAUGGGAAAACAUUUGGUGUGUAACCUCAAUGGCUCUGGGAAUGUGGUGUAACAAAGGGAAAUAACUCUGGUUGACAGGUGUUGAAAGAGUUAAAUAUGUAUUAAAAUUCUGUUCCUGAGAACAAUUUUCAGUAUAUAUUUAUAAACAGAGCAAUUUAUACUAGAAAAGAGUUGGUGCAAAUGAAGAUAAUUGAAACAAAUAUUUACUCUUUUUGUCAAUCUGAACCAGAAAGCCUCCAUGUAUUCACAAAAUGUAAUCUUGUACAGGAAUUUUGGAGAAAAGUUCAAAACUUUAUUAAUCCUACACAUUGUAAUGUUCCUAUUUCUGAUCAAGACAUUCUCUUUUGCAACAGUUCAGCUAGUCUACUAGCAACACACAUUAUCCUGUUGGCCCAAAAAUAUGUUUUUUCUUCAAGUAUAAAACAGAAUGAAAUAUCCAGUGAUUGUUUUGCUAAUAUCGUCAAGGAUGUGUAGAAAGAAUUAUUGCUUGUAAGAACAAUGUUUUGCCUUAAUUUCAUUCCAAAUGGAAACCUAUGAACAAUGUAUCAUAGAUAUAUAUAAUUAUACACCUCACAUGUCCAUCAUUUUAUGAGCGCUUCAUUGUAUAUGCUCUGAAAAACAAUGAUAAAUGAAAUCAAACUGUACACCUGCUGAACUGAAAUGAAUAAAAAAAUUGAAAAAAGAACCCCCAUACUGUGCAAAAUUGUGCAUGGAUGUAAAUAGGGUUGCUUAAUAACCAGUUUCUCGAGAACAAUUUAGUUUGUAGCAUAGAUUAACUGGGGUUUACUUGCUGUAUUUUUGUAUGUUCUGGUUCAGAUACCUCUUGCUUCCAACUUCAUGAAUGUAUAUCUUCCAUUUCAGUUCUAUACUACAUAUACUUUUGAAGUGUAAAUGUCAUUCAUAAGAAUAAUUUUUGCAUUAAUAAAAAAAUUCACAACAUGAUUUUCAUUCUAAAUUUGGUUAAUGGAGUAGUUUUGUGUAAACUUUACACAGUUGUUUUUGUAACAAGGUAUGAACUAACGGUACUCUACUCUUUCAACAGUUGACACCUCCCCAAGUCAUCCUGACGAAUAGAUGACGAUGAAAGCAAUCUGACAAGGUGUCAGUGGACGAGGCCAUGGUUCCUUUCAAGGGCAGGCUCGGCAUCAAACAGUAUAUGAAGGACAAGCCUACAAAGUUCGGAGUGAAAGUCUGGGUAUUGGCGGAAUCUGUCACUGGGUAUUGUUGGAAUUUUGAUGUUUAUGCCGGUAAGUAUGGUACCAAAAUUGACAGCAAGUUAGGCCUUGCUGGACAGAUAGUGAUCAAAUUGUGUGAAAACAUAAUUGUCACAAAUAGCCCUUUAGCCACAAUCACCAAGAGUGGAUCGCCCACACACACCAUCUGAUAAUAGGUUGAUGCAUGUGCUGCAUGGGGAAUACAUGUGCUGUUGUGUAUUUAAGAGAGUGAUUGGAGAGGAGUGUUAAACAGAUGAUAUAUUUGCUUGAAGUGGAUGCAUGGGCUAUUAUGAGCCUGUUGAUGUUGAACAUCAGGGGCAUGGUAGUUGUUGACAAAUGAUGCACGUCAAGUAUUUGUCUUGUCCUAGCUACGCCUACAUGUAUGUUCGAGUGUGGAACGUCGUCAGCUGUGAUGUCAUUGGGUCGGCAGUGUAACCAAAAGACUUUGGUAAAGUUGUUACAUUGACUGCGUGAAGCAACUCAGUCUUGUGUUGGCUAUUCUUCAUCCCACGUUAUGGUGGAUACUCAUGCCCACGUUAUGGCGGUGCAUUAGUGCUGUAGACGCACACUAACAUUAACUUUUCAUUCAAGUGUAUGACUUGUAUUUCUCAUGGUAUGAUGAGACAAUCGUAUCCAAGCCUGCGUUAUGGUGGGACAGUAAUGAUAUAACUGCACGUGAACUUCUUUCAAGUGUUUGACUUGUACUAGUAUAUCUGUUUAGAAACAUUUAUUUGAUGUAUUUAUUGUAUGUUUGGUACAUGUGAAUGCUUCAGCGAAUAGUGUUUGCAUGUGUGGAUUGUUUGCACAUGUAUUUAGGUUGGUGAGUAGUUGUUGGGAGCAUUGACAUUGAUUACAUGAAGUAGUUUUGUUCAUAAUAAACUUUAUUUAUUUUGUUUACAAUUUCGUCUUUUCGUUCGGGGUCUAUACCAGUGCUACCCUUGGUCACUAUCUGUUGCAGAAACAUACUUACCUGUGUGGCACAGCUCGUACCAACAGGAAGGGCUACCCCGCCGUUCAUCUCCCUUCAGGUAAGGCAGCAAAUCGUCUGCAGAGAGGGACCAUCGACUGGCGAGCUUGUGGGGACUUCGUUGCAACCAUGUGCAAAGAUAACAAGCCUCUUUUCUACCUCAGCACGGCACACUCUCCCGAGGAAGAUGGUUUGACCACCAAAAGGAGGAAGAAGGAUGUGAAGGAUUAUGGAAAGUAUAUGGGAGGGGUUGAUAGGUUAGACCAAAACACUCGCCAAAAUAAGGGCAAAAAACCCAUGAGGUGGUAUAGGCGUGUUGAGGUGAAGUUGAGAGAGAUAGCCAUUUACAAUGCCUAUGUCAUUGAAGGUACCUUCAUCAACCACAUGCCAGGUGGGAAUAGAAAGCGAGAUAUGCUGGCCUUCAAGCUUGGACUGCUGCAUCAACUCAUUCGAGGGUACCGUCAGGACAGGAGGCUAGGUCGUUCCAGAUGAGUCAUCGUUGGAGCAGGAACGCUUGGAUGGGAACGGUCACUGGCCAGUGCCGUCAGGUAGUCUUGACACCCGGUGCUUGGUUUGUGUGAAGAUGCACAAUGUGUAUCGUGUGCAGCACCCAGGUACAAAGUAUGCUGACAAUCCAUUUAAACGAACGAAAUCAUCCUUUAAAUAUGCUCAAAAUGCAAUGUUCCAUUGUGUGUAAAUUCAACAAAGUCAUGCUUCAUGUACUACCACACUAAAGUGCAGUACUGGCGUUGAUGUUUACAUACUGAUGAAAUGUUUCACACCUGUUGUUCAUGAAAGUUUCUAUUUGCCAUUGCUUAUGAUUGUGGGUGUACAUAUUCAUAUAUUUGAACCUUGAGCGCCUGACAGGCGAUUGUAUUCUCCACAGGGAGUGUUCUGUACUCAUUGACCAGGGGUAAUAUAUGAGCGCUUUGAGCGUGGAUAAAUGCGCAAAAUAAACGGACUAUUAUUAGUAUUACUAUUAUAUAUAUAUAUAUUGAUUACUAUUUAUUCAUAUUUAUUGAACAUUUACACUUAUGUUUCUGUUAUAAAUUAUUUUUGUACAGUAGAUUUCUUUGUGUGUAUAUAUAUUUAUUGUCUUCCUUUCCAAACUUCUCUCUCCUUUCUUUUCUACAGGCAAAAAGUGAGUAUUGAGGUGGCAUGUAACUUUCAAUGUAGUUUUAGCUAACCUGAUGUCACAUUGUUAGAAGCGAAAAAAUCAGCUGAGUGUUAACAUGUUUUUUCUUGUCAUGCCAGGUAAAAACGGCAUCAUCAAAGCGAGAUAAUCACACCUGCCAAUCAAGCUUCAGCUACCUGUGCCAUCUAAUGAUGGAAAACAUUUUAUUUGCACUGUCAAUGUAUGAUAUUUGACAAUAAAGUAAUUUUGCCCUUUUGUCAACUUUUGUCUUUUUUUCACUUGGUCCUGCUGACCAUGGCAAAUGAAAUGAUCUUUCAGACGAGUUGCUGCUGCAUAAUAUUGCCUCUUUAUUAUUCUAGAUUCCAAUAUAAUAUUCCUUUUGUAUGAAAAGCAUUAAUAUUUCAACUAUUCAACUUGAAACACUCAGAAAAUACCCUGUGAUAUAAUUUCAGGUGAAGAAAAGGGUCAUUUCAAAAGGGAGGUAAUCCAGUCACCACACCUGCCAAUCAAGCUUCUUUUUUUUUUUAUACCUGUGAUGGCAAAAUAUAUAAAGCCUAUGUACUUUGCAUAUUAUAUGAUAAUACAAUAAUAUAUUUCAACCUAAAGUGAUUUUUGUGCAUUUUUACUUUCCUGGACUAACGAGUUUACCUGAGCUAACGAGUAUACCUCUUGUAGAUGCAGCAACACCCCUUAAAAAUGUUGUGUUGAUGUUCCAUUGUAAAAUAUAAUGUCAACACGCAAACAACUUUUAUAUGACAUACAAAUAUAUUUCAUUAUUUCAGCGAAGCAAUUCUGCACCUGGAUGAUUCUCUCACCUGUACAACACCUGGAUGACCUGCUUUUCUACGGAUUGCCAAAGAUCAUAAGACACUAUUUAUUGCCUGUUAUCGCAUUUUUGGGACUAAUAUAUAUAUAUAUAUUUAUUUCUUCA
rnacentral:lncRNA from 1 species